CCUACGGGAGGCAGCAGUGAGGAAUAUUGGUCAAUGGGAGAGAUCCUGAACCAGCCAAGCCGCGUGAGGGAAGACGGCCCUAUGGGUUGUAAACCUCUUUUUUCGGAGAACAAAACCCGGGACGUUUCCCGGACUGCGUUUAUCCGAAGAAAAAGCAUCGGCUACCUCCGUGCCAGCAGCCGCGGUAAUCCGGGGGAGGCGAGCGUUAUCCGGAUUUAUUGGGUUUAAGGGGUGCGUGGGCGGUCCGUUAAGUCAGCGGUAAAAUUGCGGGGCUAACCCCCGUCGAGCCGUUGAAACUGGCAGACUUGAGUGCGCGAGAAGUACGCGGAAUGCGCGGUGUAGCGGUGAAAUGCAUAGAUAUCGCGCAGAACACCGAUUGCGAAGGCAGCGUACCGGCGCCAGACUGACGCUGAGGCACGAAAGCGUGGGGAUCGAACAGGAUUAGAUACCCCUGUAGUC
rnacentral:rRNA from 1 species